GUCCACGCAACUCUUCUAAAGGACAACCUUUGCUCUGCAGCUCCUUUUGGGAUGCAGAGACCUGAGGUCGAAUCGGCUUUGUGGUCUGAUGUAGGAUAACGUCCUGAUCUGCAGGAAGGAAUGCAGAUGUUAUUGAAACGUGGCAUCCCUGGGGACAAAAGUCAGUGGCCUAUAAAGGUGUGUGUGUGUAAAUAUGUCUAUAGACUCAAAAGAAAACAAGAAUAAAAGGAGACUGAAGGUGUUCAUCCUUCAAAAAAGGUACUGAGACAGAUGUGUUAAAAUCUCCAGUUAUUCGACACAAAUACCUGCACGUGAAUGUUUACAGCAGCUUUAUUCAUAAUUGUCAAAACUUGGACGCAACCAAGAUGUCUUUCAGUGGGCGAAUGGCUUUGCUAUAAACCUAAAACUGCUCUAAGAAAUAAAGUCCAUUUUCAGACAGUCAGAGGAGGGAGAGUUGGCUGGGAAGGAGUUGAAAGGAGCUCUUGUGGGGCAGGCAAUUGAAACAUGACCCUCUGAAAAGCUGGACAGCCAGCCUGGUUGUGAGCAGACAGCAGGACGGCGAUGUGUCUCGGGUUCUUUGCCACCAGUUGAGAACAUGGAGAUCAGAGGUGACUUACUGUCUUCUUUACACAUAAAGCGUAGGGGAAAACCAUUUCUACACUUAGCUGGAAAUGCUCAUAAGAGACAUGGUCUCUCAACAAACAGUUGCGGAUCUGGGGGUUAGAAAUGAGCCCAGAAGGGCUACAGAAAGGCUACUUCAGCCAGUUAACAAAAUCCAAGGAAAAAACUUGCGUUCGAGUUGGGGAAGGUUGCGUCUCUCCAGAUCUGCAGAGCAUUAGGUGGGAUCGGGCUCAGGAACCGGCUCAGGAAGACACGCGUACACCCGUGUACACACAUGCACGCGCACGCUUGCGUACCCGCACGGACACACGCACUGCAAACACACACGCAUGACUCAGCACUUAACACAGGUUGGGGAGUUCUGGCAAGUGAGUCGUUGGAUUUUGUUUUUCACUCCAGCCCUUCCUCUUAGAUCUGGAGGUAACACAUGUUCAUCAGAAAACAUUGGAAAGUCCAGAAAAAUCAUCCACAAUGCUACUUCCUAGUAACAAACAGUGGCGACAGUUGGCACAUUUUUUUCUUUGCACGUGUUAAAUACAGAUCAGCUUGGACAAGCAGUUACACUCAGUCCUGCUUUUCUCUCCCACUUAACACAUCUGUAUUCUGUAUAUCCCCGUGUUUCUAAAUAGUAUUUUCAUCAUGACAAAACAUUCUUUCAUGUGGGUGGUUCACAAUUUCCCCAAUGCUCUCUCAUUAGACAUCGAAGUUGUUACAG